CAGCAGCCGCGGUAAUACGUAGGGGGCGAGCGUUGUCCGGAAUUAUUGGGCGUAAAGCGCGCGCAGGCGGUCCCUUAAGUCUGAUGUGAAAGCCCACGGCUCAACCGUGGAGGGUCAUUGGAAACUGGGGGACUUGAGUGCAGAAGAGGAGAGCGGAAUUCCACGUGUAGCGGUGAAAUGCGUAGAGAUGUGGAGGAACACCAGUGGCGAAGGCGGCUCUCUGGUCUGUAACUGACGCUGAGGCGCGAAAGCGUGGGGAGCAAACAGGAUUAGAUACCCUGGUAGUCCACGCCGUAAACGAUGAGUGCUAAGUGUUAGAGGGGUUAAACCCUUUAGUGCUGUAGCUAACGCGUUAAGCACUCCGCCUGGGGAGUACGGCCGCAAGGCUGAAACUUAAAGGAAUUGGAGGG
rnacentral:rRNA from 1 species